GGCUCUUCGAUUAAUAAAAUGAAGAGUUUAAUCUGCCCAGUGAUAAGAGUUUAACGGCUGCGGUAUCCUGACCGUGCGAAGGUAGCAUAAUAAUUUGUCUUAUAAUUGAAGAAUGGAAUGAAUGAUUUGACUAGGGUAUAGCUGUCUUUCAUAUAUUUAUUAAAAGUUGACUUUUAGGUUAAAAGGCCUAAAUGAGAUUAAAGGACGAGAAGACCCUAUCGUGCUUAUAUUGGUGAUUAAAACAAAAAUAUUAGGAAAAUUAACAGAAUUAAUUCUAAGUUUUAGUUGGGGCGACUAAGGAACAUUUAAAGCUUCUAAAAAAAUAAAAAUAAUGGUGGUUUUAGGUCCAAAGUAGAUUUUGAGUUAAGAAUAAGUUACCGUAGGGAUAACAGCGUUAUUUUUUUUGAGAGUUCUAAUCGAGAAAAGAGUUUGCGACCUCGAUGUUGGAUUAGGAAACAGCAAGGGUUGCAGGGGCUUUUGUGUUUAGUCUGUUCGACUAUUAAAAUCCU
rnacentral:rRNA from 1 species